AUUGAACGCUGGCGGCAGGCCUAACACAUGCAAGUCGAACGGUAACAGGAAGCAGCUUGCUGCUUCGCUGACGAGUGGCGGACGGGUGAGUAAUGUCUGGGAAGCUGCCUGAUGGAGGGGGAUAACUACUGGAAACGGUAGCUAAUACCGCAUAAUGUCGCAAGACCAAAGAGGGGGACCUUCGGGCCUCUUGCCAUCGGAUGUGCCCAGAUGGGCUUGGCUUGUUGGUGGGGUAACGGCCCACCAAGGCGACGAUCCCUAGCUGGUCUGAGCGGAUGACCAGCGAGACUGGAACGGAGACAGGGGCCAGACUCCUACGGGAGGCAGCAGUGGGGAAUAUUGCACAAUGGGCGGAAGCCUGAUGCAGCCAUGCCGCGUGUAUGAAGAAGGCCUUCGGGUUGUAAAGUACUUUCAGCGGGGAGGAAGGGAGUAAAGUUAAUACCUUUGCUCAUUGACGUUACCCGCAGAAGAAGCACCGGCUAACUCCGUG
rnacentral:rRNA from 1 species